rnacentral:lncRNA from 1 species
CUCAGAGAAUUUAUAAAAUUAUACUACUUUUUGUGUUCUUCUACAUUUGAGAUUGAUUCGAUUAUCUUUUUUUGUGAGUCGGCUAAGCUCCAGUCUUGAUUGGCUCUGUUGUUUGCUUGGUCAACUCAAGAAAAUUUCUAAAUUCUUUACUUUUCUAUCUUCAUCCUGAGUUUGAGAUUGAGUCAGCUAUCCAAAUACUUGAGUCGGCUA